CUCACAGCAGCAUCGCAGAGAAGAACAGAGUGGAGAGUUUAAGUGAGAAGAUCUGAACUAUCAAAGGAUAUUCUGGGCAAGAUGAAAGCCCUCCUUGUGUUCUCUGUCAUUCUGGCAGUAGCAGCUUGUCUCCCAGUGUCCCAGGACCAGGCACGAGAGAAACGAAGUGACAACGACAGUGAUGAAGACUUCCCAAGAAUAUAUUUUCCCCCAAACCGGUAUCCACCUGGUGCAUACCCACAAUAUGAAUAUCAAGUCUAUCCAUGGUUUUAUCCCCCUUAUCCCUUCCCCUUCCCCUUCCCUCCUUUUGCAACUCCACCUCCUAUUGUGAAGUAAAUGAGAGAGAAGUCACAGUGUGAGUGAAGAUGAAGUGAGUGGCUACUUUGAAAUUGAAUGCAAGCCACUUCUUUGAUGGAUCAAUGUUCCUGUUAAAAGAGAAAAAUAAAUGCAAUUGAAAUAGCA